CCUACGGGAGGCAGCAGUGGGGAAUAUUGGACAAUGGGCGAAAGCCUGAUCCAGCAAUGCAGCGUGUGUGAAGAAGGCCUGCGGGUUGUAAAGCACUUUCAGUAGGGAAGAUAAUGACGGUACCUACAGAAGAAGCACCGGCUAACUCCGUGCCAGCAGCCGCGGUAAUACGGAGGGUGCAAGCGUUAAUCGGAAUUACUGGGCGUAAAGAGUACGUAGGAUGUGAUGCAAGUCGGAUGUGAAAUCCCUGGGCUUAACCUAGGAACUGCAUUCGAAACUACAUUACUAGAGUGUAGUAGAGGAAAGCGGAAUUUCGGGUGUAGCGGUGAAAUGCGUAGAUAUCCGAAAGAACAUCAGUGGCGAAGGCGGCUUUCUGGACUAACACUGACUCUGAGGUACGAAAGCGUGGGGAGCAAACAGGAUUAGAUACCCCAGUAGUC
rnacentral:rRNA from 1 species